rnacentral:sRNA from 1 species
CACCAUGCUGUCAUUUGUUUGUUGUUUUGGAGCAACUCACUUAGUUUUGUUUUUGAUUCUUUUGUACAAGGUUGGGUGAUUGUGGGUGAGAUUGUGCAGUAGGAAUAACAGCUGCUGGUUGAGAAUUACCCCUCAAAAGUGAAAAUAGCGUGAGCUGUAUGUGGUAAGUGGAUUGACCUCUAAACUCCCUAGAAGGGCUGUAGCUUUGAAGGUGGACAUUUAUUGGGCUCGCACGUGACACUUAUUGGGGCUAAAGAUGAAUCCCGAAGGAACUAAAUAACAGAAUGAUCUGUUUGUCUCCACAAGGUCAGGGAUGUUGGAAGCUGGAGUAGACAGGAUUAUUUCUCAGGUGGUGGAUCCAAAACUUAACCACAUCUUCAGGCCACAAAUAGAACGAGCAAUUCAUGAGUUCCUGGCGGCCCAGAAAAAAGCAGCUGUGCCAGCACCCCCUCCAGAGCCCGAAGGCCAGGACCCUCCAGCUCCAUCUCAGGACACUUCCUAAGAAUAUGCCAGACACCUUUUGAAAGCUAAUUUUUGGUGAAGAAAUGGAUUCGGUUACAUAAGAGUGCAACUUCAGACUGAAGAUAGGCCAAGGUCGUCACUGAUCUCAAGAUUUCAACCUUGACCAUGGGCAGUGACCAGAUUGAAAGGGGAGCAAGUUCGGCAGUGGGAGAGUUGACCGUGUCACCCCCUGCAUUGUGCUGCCAUUUGGCCAGCCUGUCCAAGGGCAUGACAC